GGAGGAAUGUAUAGCGAAAGCUAGUUGUAUUAACUAACUGUUAAUGCAGCAACGACUCUGUCGUGUAAAGUUCAGGGUAGAGUUAUGAUAAUGACAUUUCCUACCUGUGUGUCUCGACCAAACUACGUGCCAGCAGUCGCGGUAAUACGUUGGAGACUAGUGUUAUUCGUCUUUAGUAGGUUUAAAGGGUACCUAGACGGUUAUUUCAGCCCCCAAGGGGUACUGUUUAUACUAGAGUUUUAUGAGAGGGGGGGUGUACUAAUGGUGUAGAGAUGAAAUUCUGUCAUACCAUUAUGAACAGGCAACAGCGAAGGCAACCCUUUAUGUAAAAACUGACGUUGAAGGACGAAGGCUUGGUCCACCAACAGGAUUAGAUACCCUAGCAGUCCGAGCAGACAAUGAUGAAUGCCAUAGACUGGAAAAAUAUAUAAUAAAAAGGAAUUCUAGUAAAGAAUAAGGAAUUAUUAGGAAGAAUAAUUUGUCUAUAAAUGAAAGUGUAAGCAUUCCACCUCAAGAGUAAUGCGGCAACGCAUAAACUGAAAUCAUUAGACCGUUUCUGAAACCAGUAGUGAAGUAUGUUGUUUAAUUUGAUACUACGCGGAAAACCUUACCACAAUUUGUAUGUUUAGAGAUAAAUACAAGAGUUGCACGGCUGUCUUCAGUUAAUGUCGUGAGAUUUUGGUUAGUUCCAUUUAAUUAACGUAAACCCUUACUUUAUUUUAAUAGUAAAUAGAGUAGUUCACCGCUAUAUUGGAUAUGAUAAAAGGGACUAA
rnacentral:rRNA from 1 species